GAAGAAGCUUGCUUCUUUGCUGACGAGUGGCGGACGGGUGAGUAAUGUCUGGGAAACUGCCUGAUGGAGGGGGAUAACUACUGGAAACGGUAGCUAAUACCGCAUAACGUCGCAAGACCAAAGAGGGGGACCUUCGGGCCUCUUGCCAUCGGAUGUGCCCAGAUGGGAUUAGCUUGUUGGUGGGGUAACGGCUCACCAAGGCGACGAUCCCUAGCUGGUCUGAGAGGAUGACCAGCCACACUGGAACUGAGACACGGUCCAGACUCCUACGGGAGGCAGCAGUGGGGAAUAUUGCACAAUGGGCGCAAGCCUGAUGCAGCCAUGCCGCGUGUAUGAAGAAGGCCUUCGGGUUGUAAAGUACUUUCAGCGGGGAAGAAGGGAGUAAAGUUAAUACCUUUGCUCAUUGACGUUACCCGCAGAAGAAGCACCGGCUAACUCCGUGCCAGCAGCCGCGGUAAUACGGAGGGUGCAAGCGUUAAUCGGAAUUACUGGGCGUAAAGCGCACGCAGGCGGUUUGUUAAGUCAGAUGUGAAAUCCCCGGGCUCAACCUGGGAACUGCAUCUGAUACUGGCAAGCUUGAGUCUCGUAGAGGGGGGUAGAAUUCCAGGUGUAGCGGUGAAAUGCGUAGAGAUCUGGAGGAAUACCGGUGGCGAAGGCGGCCCCCUGGACGAA
rnacentral:rRNA from 1 species